rnacentral:rRNA from 1 species
UACGUAGGGUGCAAGCGUUAUCCGGAUUUAUUGGGUUUAAAGGGUGCGUAGGCGGUUCUGUAAGUCAGUGGUGAAAUCUCACAGCUUAACUGUGAAACUGCCAUUGAUACUGCAGGUCUUGAGUGUUAUUGAAGUAGCUGGAAUAAGUAGUGUAGCGGUGAAAUGCAUAGAUAUUACGUAGAACACCAAUUGCGAAGGCAGGUUACUAAGCAACAACUGACGCUGAUGGACGAAAGCGUGGGGAGCGAACAGG